GGGCAUGCCUUACACAUGCAAGUCGAACGGCAGCACGGGAGCAAUCCUGGUGGCGAGUGGCGAACGGGUGAGUAAUACAUCGGAACGUGCCCAAUCGUGGGGGAUAACGCAGCGAAAGCUGUGCUAAUACCGCAUAAGAUCUACGGAUGAAAGCAGGGGAUCGCAAGACCUUGCGCGAAUGGAGCGGCUGAUGGCAGAUUAGGUAGUUGGUGGGGUAAAGGCCCACCAAGCCAACGAUCUGUAGCUGGUCUGAGAGGACGACCAGCCACACUGGGACUGAGACACGGCCCAGACUCCUACGGGAGGCAGCAGUGGGGAAUUUUGGACAAUGGACGCAAGUCUGAUCCAGCCAUGCCGCGUGCGGGAAGAAGGCCUUCGGGUUGUAAACCGCUUUUGUCAGGGAAGAAACGGCUUUUUCUAAUACAGAGAGCUAAUGACGGUACCUGAAGAAUAAGCACCGGCUAACUACGUGCCAGCAGCCGCGGUAAUACGUAGGGUGCGAGCGUUAAUCGGAAUUACUGGGCGUAAAGCGUGCGCAGGCGGUGAUGUAAGACAGAUGUGAAAUCCCCGGGCUCAACCUGGGAACUGCAUUUGUGACUGCAUCGCUGGAGUGCGGCAGAGGGGGAUGGAAUUCCGCGUGUAGCAGUGAAAUGCGAGUUUGAUCCUGGCUCAGGGUCAGCUUAACGCGUGAAGUUGACC
rnacentral:rRNA from 1 species